rnacentral:rRNA from 1 species
UACAGAGGGUGCAAGCGUUAAUCGGAAUUACUGGGCGUAAAGCGUGCGUAGACGGUUAUGUAAGUCAGGUGUGAAAGCCCCGGGCUCAACCUGGGAAUUGCAUUUGAGACUGCAUAGCUAGGGUGCGGAAGAGGGAAGCGGAAUUUCCGGUGUAGCGGUGAAAUGCGUAGAUAUCGGAAGGAACACCAGUGGCGAAGGCGGCUCACUGGACCGGUACUGACGCUGAUGCGCGAAAGCGUGGGGAGCAAACGGG